AGACACACACGCACUCCUCCAUUGCCAGCCCUCUUUUCGCUCUCCUUCUGCUAUUCUUUCUUCCCCUCUCUCUAUCCUCUCCUUUCUUUGGCUUUGCCCUCGCCGUCCCGCAGCGUGUGUGUGCCUGUGCGUCUAAAAGGGCGUGCACCUGCUGUGCUGUGUGUGCUGCUUUGGGCGCUCACACAAGAAGGGGGUGGGGCGCACCUUUUCCCUUCCCUCUUCUCUGGUGGCGUUUGGUUUCCUCUCUCACUCUCGUGCUUUUUAUUUUGUGUUUAGUGUGUGGAGCCCCUACACCACCUUCCCAUCCACAGACGCAAGGGCGAUACACCCCAAGGCACCGACGUCGUGUGGCACCGCUCCCUCUCUUCCCCCCUCCUCCUCCGUAGCAGAUCUGCUUUUUUGCUUUUUUUUUUCGCUUCCAAGAGGGUGAGGUCAGCAUAUCGCUGCGUCAUCGCCGUACGUCGUGCCGAUUGCUAACUUUUAUUCCCUCAAGUUUGAGCCCCCCUUCUACACACGCACGGCGUGCCGCCAUUCUUGCCUGUCUGCAUCAUCUCUGCUCAUAGCCCUUUUCUGCUUUUUCUUUUUCGUGUCUCCCCCUCUGCUCCGCACGCGGGCCUACCCGUGAGCUCACGCAAACGCGCGCGCGCUCUCCUGCUGCUGUUCACUUGGACGUCUCUAAAGUCGGUGCUGCCGUUUUUUUUUUCUUUGUAUCCUCUCCUCUCUUCUUGUACUCGCCAUCGCUUCCUUUGUGUUUCGUCUUCCCCGUCUUCUCGCUCAUUCACUCGCAUAACCGCCACCACCACCAUCAUCAUCAUUGGUCUCUCCUUCUCCCUCUUGUUGAUUGUUUCAUCUCGUUUUCUUGUGCCUUCGUUUCGCGUUGUUUGACCCUCUCUUGUAUCCGGACCUUCGUCGCCUCCCUUCGCGCUCUCUCUCUCUUCCAACCUUUAUACACACACACACACACACACACACACACCUACGUACCCCGUGACGCGGAAGGCACCAUUCCGGUGAGCCAACGGUCUCCACGCUUCUUCCAGCUUCCGUUGACAUUGCCGUGUGCUGCCUCCCCCUCUCUCUUCUGCCUCAGCUCUGUGGCGGACACUCCACCGUUGCUCCUUCGGCUCCUGCCGCCUUGCUCUUGUCCUCCACUUCGUGUUGCCCGUUCUCCCAACACUUCCGAGCCAUGCCGCGGCGUCACAGCCUUACAGCUACCGCGGCAGCUGCAGCUGCUGUGCUGUGGCCCCUCGCAGUGGUGUGCUGGCUUGGCUGGGUCCCUGCCACCUCGGCGGCGUGGCCGGGGACAUUCCAAUCAGCGCAGCAAGACCUGAGGGUGGCGACGACGCCGUACGACACUGAGGUGCAGGACCUCUUGGCACCUGCCCUCGCUAUGGGGCUGGGCCCCAUGGGUGGCAGCGUCUAUGUGAGCCCGAGCUCAUCGAGCACGAACGCUUCUGCAUUGUUCGUCUGUGCGCGAGCAGACGUGGAAUCCAUGCUUGCGCCUGUCACGGUGACCACCUUCGACGCGCUCUUCCACUCGAUGACCGACGUCUCGGGGCAACUGGACGUGAAUCAUGGCUGCUACAUGGCGAACACUCAGGACAGCGUGCCUCAGUGUGUGGCGGCACUGACGUCCACUGCGGCAGACUGCGGCGGUUUCGCAGAGGAUGCCGUGGGGCCGCACUUGCGCGAUGCUGCAUCGACAGAUGACCGCCGCUCUACCUCCUCGCCCGCUUUGCCCGGUGUUGUGCCGUCCAGUGCCGCGAUGCUCGCCGCCUACGUUCGUGAUUGGGGGCAGCAGCGACUCAAGCUGGAGCGCUCCCUGCGGCGCACCCGCGAGGCGACGGCCGCUUUUGCCCGCGUGCACGCACUUGUACACAGCGCUGCAACAGUGCCAUCUAGCAAGGAGGAGGCACGGCUGCUGCGCGCUCGAGCAACGGCGCGGGUGGCGGAAAUAGCCUCCGCCGCGUACGACCGAGUAAUGGAUAAGUACUACAUCUUCAACACGUGGUUAGGGCCAUCCCUCGGGAUCGUGAUGGGAGGCAGCAGCGACGGCAGCAGCAGUGGCGACGGAAGGGGGCCACAUAGUGCCGUUGGCCCCGACGUUGCGGAGUGCUCUGUCGAUACAUACGUGCGUCUGCUGCUGUGGGGCAAUGAGUCCUUGUCGGCGGUGCUGCUGGAACUCAUGGGCACAACACUGAAGACAGCAGAUUUGGUGCGCGCUAAGGUGUUGCAACCAGCCGUGCGGGGCCUGGAGUGUGUGCAGGUGCUGACAGCAUUGGCCGUGAUGGUGCUGGAGGAUGAGCCCGUGCGCACGGUUGCGGCAAUGCUGGCCACGGGCACCUUGAAAAACACGUCUGUAUGGUCCCUUGAUGAGUUUGCACUGUUGGCGCCUGGCUACAACAGCGACCUACGGCAGCUCCAGCUCUGGAGCCUCGCCUACGCGUUCGUCACCGUCGCGCACCCGGCAGUGGCGCACGACCUCGUAGGCGGCACCGACGUUGCCGCGUGCAUGCACCGCGCCGGACUCGUUGUGCCAGACAGCAUCACCGGCACGGUGCCUCCGUCUAUCUACUGGUGUCUCUACAACACGUCAAUGAGCGAGAUGACGCCAAGCGCUGUACGCCAGCGUUCCCUUGCCACCCGUGAAAGCAGCGCUGCCGCUCCGAAUGGGCAGUGUCUGUGGGGACUAAGCGUGUGGGAUGGACUGUGUGGCGGUGCGGCGUUCGACCCCGCUCGAUGCAGAGACUGCCCUCCCGGCUCCGUCGGGGACGGCGAGGGUCACUGCGUGUGCGGUGAUGCCAGCACGAUGUAUGCGACGCUGACGGGCGGUUGUGUGGCAAAGGGGCCCGCCCUCGACACCCCGGGUGUUCGCGUGAUACACACAGGCAGCAACAACAUCGUUCCUCUGUCCGGCGACAACGCAGCUGUCGCGCUCCUCUCCGUGCAACUGCCCCAAACGGCAGCCCUGUUUGACCCCAGCGCGUAUCUGCGCGUGGAUGUCGUGUGUAACGACAGCGGCCGUGGCGGUGGCGGGACGCGGUUUGUGGCAACGCCGUCAGGUGAUCGGAAGGCUUCGUGUGCCUCUGUCGUGGAGUAUGAGCGGCGGCAGGAGCGCACCGGCGUGGCGCACACCUUUGGCAGCGGCACUCAGCGCUUCGUUACGUACGCUGAGAACUUGGCCAUCUCGGUGACGGGCACCGCCGCCUUCUACGGCGAGACGUGCAGUGUGACCGUCACCGUGGACAGCACGCUGCAUCGCGCCUCGCGGUCCGUGACGGCCGGCACGUGGACUUUUGUGCCGGGCGCGACGCCGCUGCAUCUGACGGCGUACAGCCAUGCAAGCGGCUCAACCUCUUCAGAGGCUGCCAGCGCAGAUAUGCUCCCGCGGUGUGUGGACAUUCUUGCAGCGUUUUCUGGGCUUGCUGCGUCCAGCGCAGUGCACGUGGGUGUGUGCCGCGCGUCUCGUGAGCAGCUGGGGGUGUUUGUGGCUCCUGGGAGAUACAGCCUCUUCGGAUUAUCCACGCAGCAGGUCGCCGGUGCCCGCGUGCGUCGCAGCGCUGGCGCCGCUCAGGACGCCGCCUUCACCUCGACGGUGCAGUCCUUGGCAGCGCGGACCGGCAUGGAGGUGAUUCUGGAGGGCAGCGGAGGCGCCGCUGCGGCUGUGUUGUGGUCUGCCACGCUGCAGUCUUGCGUGACACCGCUGGCCGUGAACGCCUGGCGCUCCGGCUGGUACGCGAACAUCAGCGUCGACAAGCUGCGACUUGCCCGCUCGCUGCGGGUGAGACUCGUGGACACGUCGGAAACCUUCGCGUUUUCUCCCGUGGAGGAGGUGGUGCCGCUCCACUACGAAGACGGCGAGGGCAGUGACAGCAGUGACAGUUCAGGCGGCGGCGGUGGCGGCUCCGCCUCGAUCGCUGACGAGCAGUACGGCUUCGGGUACGUGGCCGCCAUCGUCAUUGCCUCGGUGGCUCUCGCUGCACUGCUGGUGCUGCUGGGCUCAUUGGUCUACUUGCUGCUAAUCACAGAUGCGUGGCCGAAGCAGCUCUUGGUAUGAAGCACCGACGCCGCCCGUGACGUUUUAGGGUUUUCGCACCUCGCUUUUCGCCCGCAUCACUCCCCCCCCAUUUCCCUUCAUUCUUCCUCUCCCUCUCUGGCGGUCUGUGCGUCAAGUGCCGCCUGGACUCUCUACGCAAGUGCGCGCGCGCCCACAUGCGGAGGCUUUCGCCUUAACUAACUCUUGUGCCUUUCCGGUUCCCAGCGAUGCACGCGGCAUACGAAG
rnacentral:misc_RNA from 1 species